GUUUUGGGAAUUGGCCACUACCUCGCAGUCACGUGAUGCUCAAACGUGCUUUCGUCAUAUUCUUGUCCAGUUUUGUCAAGGAUUUGUCGUCGGCCUUUUUGCGUUCUUAACAUAUUUCAUGUGAUGUGACGUAGUGGAACAUUCCUAACG
rnacentral:pre_miRNA from 1 species